rnacentral:lncRNA from 1 species
ACCCGCUGCCUCACAGGGGAUGAAACACCAGAGUGCCAUGCAACUAAUACCAGAGACUUUAAUUCUUAUUUUUAAACACCUAAGUGAAGUGACGACCCUGAAUUGAAGUCUCUACAAAAUAUACAUCACCUUCCAAUGUCAGGGCAAUAAGAACUCUCGGGACAGCCAGUUGAUUUCAGCAACCCUUGACAUCUGGAAGAAGAUGGUUACAGUAUUGAAGCUGGUGGAGCAUAUAAGGUAAGAGAGAGAAGUCAUUCUGUCUGUGCACCAGAGUCACCUCUGGAGAAGAACUAAUGUUAAAUGCAAUGCUGAGGUAUAAACACAGUGAUUAGUCCUGAGGUAUAAAUGCAAAGCUAUCCUAAACCAGAGAUCAGAAAAUAUGUUAUGUAAAGAGCCAGAUAGUAAGUGAAUGUAAGCAACCUGCAUGAUCUCUAUUACGACUGUUCAC